rnacentral:rRNA from 1 species
UCUGGAAAGUCCGACGGUACAGGGUGAUAGUCCCGUACACCAAAAUGCACAGGCUGUGAACUCGAAGAGUAGGGCGGGACACGUGGUAUCCUGUCUGAAUAUGGGGGGACCAUCCUCCAAGGCUAAAUACUCCUGACUGACCGAUAGUGAACCAGUACCGUGAGGGAAAGGCGAAAAGAACCCCGGCGAGGGGAGUGAAAAAGAACCUGAAACCGUGUACGUACAAGCAGUGGGAGCACCUUCGGGUGUGACUGCGUACCUUUUGUAUAAUGGGUCAGCGACUUAUAUUCUGUAGCAAGGUUAACCGUAUAGGGGAGCCGCAGGGAAACCGAGUCUUAACUGGGCGUUAAGUUGCAGGGUAUAGACCCGAAACCCGGUGAUCUAGCCAUGGGCAGGUUGAAGGUUGGGUAACACUAACUGGAGGACCGAACCGACUAAUGUUGAAAAAUUAGCGGAUGACUUGUGGCUGGGGGUGAAAGGCCAAUCAAACCGGGAGAUAGCUGGUUCUCCCCGAAAGCU